UCCCCUUCGAACCCUCGCCUGGGAACCUCCCUCCAUAUCCCGCGGAUGCAGCUACAAAAAGCAAAUAAAUAAAUAAAUAAAUAAAUAAAUAAAUGCUUACUUAUUAUCUUUGUAAAUUAGUGGGGAGAAAAAGCCAUUUCCAUAUGGGAACCCCAAGGACCCAGGCCUGGGGACCCUGAGCAAAUCAAUGGGGCACAGCACGUGGCUCACUGCCCUGCGCGUCCCCAGAGAGGAAGGACCAUUCUGGACGGUUUCUUGGUCCCCGGUCCCCGGACAGUACUCGCACCAGGACCGCUGCCAGGGCCUGGAGAGAGCGGAUCCAGCGUCCCAGCUCCGGAUCCAGCUUCCCAGCUCCGAGGCUCCUCAGACAGAAGAGGGCGGGGCCUCGUUCUUCCCUCCUGCCCCCAGGCUGCCAGGCUGCGUUUCAUAGUUUGAUUGAAAGUGUGCCAUCCCGUCUGUCUCUCCGCAAACAAAUGGAAUAUUCUGAGCUUCCAGCAUUUGGAGGCACACAGCUUGCAUCUUUUCCUGAAGAAAAAUAAAUAGCAUGUGUGGUUAACAACCGAGUCCUGAUGGAGAAAACAAUGCUGCCGACCAGAAGCCCUUGCGCAACCGGGGCCGCAGACGCCAGGCAGGUAGCUGAGCUUCGGCUCCUCUGCAAUGCCAAGUCCAUCCACUGUCAGAAGACCCCUCCUCCUCUGCCACCAGCUCACCCACACCCAUCCAGGACCCUGGCUUGCAGGGCUGUCCAUGUCUGUUUACAAACCGCAGGAGAGAAAGCAGCUCAAGGCAUAGGUCAAGCUGCAGAGCUUUUUGGAACAAGGGGUUUAAAACCUACCUUUUUUUGGAAUAAUCCCAGCUCCCAACUCUGGGAGAAACAAAUACAAACCAGAAUUCUCUGGCUGCGGUCUGUCUGAAUAUCUGGACACUUUUCCCAGCAUGUGACAUCCUCUUCCGUCCAGACUUCAAGGUUAAAAAUAGCCUGGCAAACCCUUUGAACUAUUGUCUCUUUCAAACACAAUAUGGAUUGUAUGUGUGUUUACCACUUGGAAGAAACGCUUUGUGACACAAGACAUGCUGACAGGGUGUUUCAGGCUAAGGGUGGAGGAGGGUGUCCACGGACUUGUUGAAUUUACACUAAAUACAUACACACACCUGUUCCCACGCACCCAGGCUGCUCCUGCCUGGUACAACCAUUCCCAAGCGGCUGCUAAGACUGUAACAACCCUGUGGAGUGAUCCAAUUGACCAAAACUCAGCAGGAAGCCCCAUUGUCUUCCUCCCUCCAAUAGAUCAGCAAAACGCGUGAUCAGGAAGAUUUUCUCUCUCUCUCUCUCUCUCUCUCUCUCUUUUUUUUUUUUUUUUUUUGGCCACCCUGCGGCAUAUCAAGUUCCCAGGCCAGGGAUAAGAUCCGAGCUGCAGUUGCAACCUAAGCCACAGCUUCAGCAAUGUCAGAUCCUUAACCCACUGUGCUGGACCGGGGAUCGAACUCUCACCCCAGCACUCCCAAGACACUGCCCAUCCCAUUGCGCCACAGCAGGAAAUCUGGGAAGAAUUUUAAGAAGUGGCCAUCUUAAAAUUUCUAACUGCCUUUCUGGUCCCAGCAGAUUUUUGUUCAAGAAAGAAUCACUAGGUAACCUUCUCUCUUUAAAGGCCCUGGGCCUUAAGAAAGGCCUCUCCUUCUAGAACCACUCUCCAUGCAGAGGUGGCUGCUGGCAGGACCUGAGAACCUUUGCUGUGGAGCCAGAACGCCUCCCUGGGAGCACAGGGGUGGGGAACUGGCCUGAGUUUUUGAGGUUCACAAUCCUAGAGCCUCUUGGUUGGACUGGAACAUUCUGGCCAUGGUCAGCUGGCAGGACAGGAGCAAGAGCUUCUCAGAAAAUGGGCAUUUGACUGGCAAAGCCAGCCCCACACCAGG
rnacentral:lncRNA from 1 species